rnacentral:rRNA from 1 species
GACGAACGCUGGCGGCGUGCCUAAUACAUGCAAGUAGAACGCUGAAGGAGGAGCUUGCUUCUCUGGAUGAGUUGCGAACGGGUGAGUAACGCGUAGGUAACCUGCCUGGUAGCGGGGGAUAACUAUUGGAAACGAUAGCUAAUACCGCAUAAUAGUAGAUGUUGCAUGACAUUUGCUUAAAAGGUGCAAUUGCAUCACUACCAGAUGGACCUGCGUUGUAUUAGCUAGUUGGUGGGGUAACGGCUCACCAAGGCGACGAUACAUAGCCGACCUGAGAGGGUGAUCGGCCAAACUGGGACUGGGACACGGCCCAGACUCCUACGGGAGGCAGCAGUAGGGAAUCUUCGGCAAUGGACGGAAGGCUGAACGAGCAACGCCGCGUGAGUGAAGAAGGUUGUCGGAUCGUAAAGCUCUGUUGUAAGAGAAGAACGAGUAUGAGAGUGGAAAGUUCACACUGUGACGGUAUCUGACCAGAAAGGGACGGCUAACUACGUG